rnacentral:tRNA from 1 species
GCCUUUGUGGUGCAACGAUAGCACCCUUGGUAUUCGAGAGGUCCAGGUUCGAGUCCCGGCGACGGCA